AAUAUAAUUUCCCCUAUUUUCUAGAACGCCAUGGAAUUUUCCGUUCUUUUGCCUCGUCGACUAUAAAUACGACCGUUAGUUCACAUGCCAGCUCAUUCGUAACUUUGAUAUUCUCUCUGGUGCAAGUCUCUUAUAAAAAAGUAUAAUAAAGUGAAAAAGUUUUAUUUCUCUUGUGAAAGUAAAAAAAAGUAAAAAUGUCUGAAAAAAGUGGAAAAGUUUUAAGAAAGUGCAAAAAUUGCAAUUACCAUCAUCAAUUAUCUGCUGAAGAUCCUGGAUAGUGUGUUUUUUGGGUAUUAUUUGCUGAUGAAACCUGGCAUUAGGAACAAAAAUUUUCUCUCUCUCUACCCACACAAAGAGAGUUAGCUGUAAAAGCAAAAUCCUGAAGGGCGUAACCUUUGUCGAAGGAGUUAAAAAAUUUAGGAAAAAAGCUAUAAAAAAUACCCAGCAUAAGAUGGUGCUGAUGAUAAAAAAAGGGCAUAAAUGGUUAAAAACUUUCUGUUAAUAAAAAGAGACAUCGUCGACAACCAGGUUUGCAUAGGAAGUUUUGGGACAUGUGAGUUGCUGAAAAUUUGAUAAAAAAAAGCUAGUGUAUAUAAUAGAGUCAGGCAGAGUCAGAGUCAAGAUCAGAAAAUAUUAUAAUAUCCAUGAUCUUGUGUGUAUAUAUACAUAAUAUCGUGUAUGCCUCUUGCGCGCGAGCUCUACCACUAGGAGUAGGAGCCCCAAAUAUAUAUACUCUACCUACAUACAGAUGGAAAAGGGAGCGACUUAUAUAUACUAUAUAUGACAGAUAAAAACCUAUUAUACCUAGGCAUAUGCGUUUUUUCUGACCCCGACUGAGAUUGCGACUCCUAAAAGUGUCCUGACUAUUGUGGGAGAGAGUACAAAAUAAUGUACUAGAUCUAAUUUUACUCUACUACCUACCUACCUAAAAUCUACUUGCGGCAAAAAAUUUAUUGCAAAUUACAAAAAGCAUAGGCGUGUUCUUCUUCUUCUAAAAAACAUAAAACGUAUGUAUAGCUAGCUACAUAGUUAUGAUAUACCUAAUCUAUCUACAACCAAUAUUCUGCGGUGACACAAAAGGAUGAUACCCGGUUAUCACAAACAACAAUUUUAAUUCAUUAUUUAAAAAAAACAACAAAUAUGUAUUAAACUUUUUUUUUUUGAUUUUGUUGAAAUUAACGGUUGACUGCGGUCGCCAAAAAUAAGUAAAAGCUGAUGUUUUAAGGAAAGUUUAAUUAGAGAAAGAACAAAAUUUUUUGUAAUAGGAUUAAUUUGUUAAAAAAAAGUUUGAAAAAUCACAAUUCGAGCUGUUAUAUAUUUGCGUUUUCAGCUUUUGAAUAAGCCGUGUUUAUAUAAAAACAAUUUAGUACUAAAACAAAAUUUUUGAAAAACAAAAAGACAAAAAAAAACAAUUCUUGUUAAAACAAAACAAAAAAAAAAGAUAAAAAAGAACAAAAUAAGAAAUAUAAAAAAAUCGUCUCUUAAAAAAAAAAAAAUAA